rnacentral:rRNA from 1 species
AAGGAUCAUUACCACACCUAAAAACUUUCCACGUGAACCGUUUCAACCCAAUAGUUGGGGGUCUUACUUGGCGGCGGCUGCUGGCUUUAUUGCUGGCGGCUACUGCUGGGCGAGCCCUAUCAAAAGGCGAGCGUUUGGACUUCGGUCUGAGCUAGUAGCUUUUUUAUUUUAAACCCUUUACUUAAUACUGAUUAUACUGUGGGGACGAAAGUCUCUGCUUUUAACUAGAUAGCAACUUUCAGCAGUGGAUGUCUAGGCUCGCACAUCGAUGAAGAACGCUGCGAACUGCGAUACGUAAUGCGAAUUGCAGGAUUCAGUGAGUCAUCGAAAUUUUGAACGCAUAUUGCACUUCCGGGUUAGUCCUGGAAGUAUGCCUGUAUCAGUGUCCGUACAACAAACUUGGCUUUCUUCCUUCCGUGUAGUCGGUGGAGGAGAUGCCAGAUGUGAAGUGUCUUGCGGUUGGUUUUCGGACCGACUGCGAGUCCUUUUAAAUGUACUAAACUGUACUUCUCUUUGCUCCAAAAGUGGUGGCAUUGCUGGUUGUGGACGCUGCUAUUGUAGCGAGUUGGCGACCGGUUUGUCUGCUGCGGCGUUAAUGGAGAAAUGCUCGAUUCGUGGUAUGGUUGGCUUCGGCUGAACAAUGCGCUUAUUGGGUGAUUUUCCUGCUGUGGCGUGAUGGACUGGUGAACCAUGGCUCUUU